UACGGAGGGUGCGAGCGUUGUUCGGAAUCACUGGGCGUAAAGCGCGUGUAGGCGGUCUGCUAAGUCUGAUGUGAAAGCCCGGGGCUCACCCCCGGAAGUGCAUUGGAAACUGACAGACUGGAGUCCCGGAGAGGAAGGUGGAAUUCCUGGUGUAGCGGUGAAAUGCGUAGAUAUCAGGAGGAACACCGGUGGCGAAGGCGGCCUUCUGGACGGUGACUGACGCUGAGACGCGAAAGCGUGGGGAGCAAACAGG
rnacentral:rRNA from 1 species